GACUUGGUAACGCAGCUAACGCGUGAAGUAGACCGCCUGGGGAGUACGGUCGCAAGAUUAAAACUCAAAGGAAUUGACGGGGACCCGCACAAGCGGUGGAUGAUGUGGAUUAAUUCGAUGCAACGCGAAAAACCUUACCUACCCUUGACAUGGAUGGAAUCCCGAAGAGAUUUGGGAGUGCUCGAAAGAGAACCAUCACACAGGUGCUGCAUGGCUGUCGUCAGCUCGUGUCGUGAGAUGUUGGGUUAAGUCCCGCAACGAGCGCAACCCUUGUCAUUAGUUGCUACGAAAGGGCACUCUAAUGAGACUGCCGGUGACAAACCGGAGGAAGGUGGGGAUGACGUCAAGUCCUCAUGGCCCUUAUGGGUAGGGCUUCACACGUCAUACAAUGGUACAUACAGAGGGCCGCCAACCCGCGAGGGGGAGCUAAUCCCAGAAAGUGUAUCGUAGUCCGGAUUGGAGUCUGAACUCGACCUCCAGAGUUGUCCCCCCACUGACGA
rnacentral:rRNA from 1 species